rnacentral:lncRNA from 1 species
CUACAUGUACGUGUGUGCUCGUGCGAUUCACAUGGUGUCUCUGGAGACGACACGAUUCGGCAGGCUUGCCGCGCUCUAGAUCCCCUCUCAAAGAAAGAGACAGCAAGGGGAAGGGGCGGCCCAUCUCAGAGAUCAUCGGCAUGGGGGCAGGUGAAGCGGCGGCCAUCUAUGAGCCCACACUAGGAUGAGGAUGCAACUCGCCCGCUACUUCCCUGCAGCACAUAUGCGGGUGUCAGGAUUUGGAGAGCAACCGUCGUAGUCGUCGGAUGGGGCGCCCGCAUGACAUGGGGGCGGAGUGAGCUGCAGCUUGAACAAAAAAACUCACAUGAGUGGGCGUAGUGAGCUGCACAGUAGCACUCACCACCCUCAUCGUCAACACAGGAGCGCUGCCAAACCUCAUCCCACACAUCCCCAACGCCAUGGCCGCCAGAUCCAGAGAAGGGGAAGCCUUGG